GACGAACCGAGCGAACGUUGUUCGGAAUCACUGGGCUUAAAGAGCUCGUAGGCGGCCUGUUGCGUCCGCUGUGAAAUCCCGGGGCUUAACCCCGGGCGUGCAGUGGAUACGGGCUGGCUGGAGGCAGGCAGGGGGGAACGGAAUUCCCGGUGUAGCGGUGAAAUGCGCAGAUAUCGGGAGGAACACCGGUGGCGAAGGCGGUUCUCUGGGCCUGUACUGACGCUGAGGAGCGAAAGCGUGGGGAGCGAACAGG
rnacentral:rRNA from 1 species